GGUUGUGGCUCAGUGGUAGAGUGCUUGCCUAGCAUGCGCGAGGCACUGGGUUUGAUCCCUGGCACCA
rnacentral:tRNA from 1 species